rnacentral:lncRNA from 1 species
AGGAUUCUACCAGGCUUUCAAAGAACACACAGCGUUCCUCAAACUGUCAUAUAAAAUACGAAAGAGAGAACAUUCCCAGACUCUACAGCCAGGGUGGCCUGCAAGGCCCCCAUUGUGUCCUCUCCCAACAACUAGGCUGUUGUCUAACGGAGUCUGUCUAGGACCCAGGAGAGGCACCACAGCCAAGGGAAGACAGGGUUGGAGUUUACUGUAGCACUCACCUCCAGAGAAUCACGCUGGCUGCAGCAGCUCUAGAGUCUAGAAGCUCUACAGGAUUGAGCAUGGCAAUCCCAGGGACUGCCACUGCUGAUGGGCUUCACACACAAAAGACCAGGCAAGAAGCCACGUUUGUGACUGAUGACUUCCAGUGAGCUAGAAGGGCAGGGUAACUAUAUAGAACCCUGUGGCUGGAUCUCAGGGCAGGGUGUGUAAUGGCUAUAUUCCUGAUUGUCAACUUGACUAUAUCUGGGAUGAACUGCAAUCCAGAAUUGGAAGACACUCCUGUGAACCAGGUCUUGAGGCUGGAAGACACAAGUUUCUGACCUGGAUCUUGGAGUAGAGAUCUUGAGGAAUAGUGGCCCAGGCAAGGUGGUACACACUUUUAAUCCCAGGAGACGGAGGCAAGGAGGACUCUGAGUUCAAGGCCAGCCUGGGACAAAGCAAAUCCCAGAUCCAAGUGUGGUGGUAUACACCUUUAAUCUGGGUCACACCUCUGCUGGAGACCUUCAUAAGGGCAUUGGAAGAAGGGAGAUUUGCUUUUCUUAGCAGCUUGCACUUAUUUACCAGCACAUCCGUUGGAACCUACUUCCACAGAAGACCAGCUGAGACACCCAGCCUCGUGGGACUGAGCAACUGCUAGAUCCUUGGACUUCCCAUUCACAGCUGACCAUUGUUGGGUUAGUCGGAGUGCAGACUGUAAGUCAUCACAAUAAAUUCCCUCAAUAUAGAGAGACAUUCCAUAAAUUCUGUGACUCUGGACAGCCCUGACUAAUACAGGGUGGAUGGCUGGAACUCACACAGAAUUUCCUUGUGCUUAAAGCAACCCCCAGGCAGCUGGCAGGUGAUCAGCCUUCAGCCUCUGUAUUAAGACCCACCUCCCCACCCCCUGUUGCCCGAUGAAUUGAACAACACGGAAGAUAAUUCCAAUCACAAACUGAUAUGAGUUAUGUUCAAUGUAAGUGUUUCCCAUCCGAUAUCUGGGAGAUACUUACACUAAUGUUUUUAUAUGUGAAAUUCAAAUUUGCCUGGGAUUAGAGUUGGGGUUCAUGUAAGCCACGUAACAGGGCCUCAGAUCUUAGCCCAACCGACUCACAAUGGAACUACCGUUCAGGCCAUAAAACCCGACAGACAGGCAGAGUUUUAUGCCAAAGGGAAAACAAAGGCCUAAUCCAUC